rnacentral:lncRNA from 1 species
AGAAACAGGCAGCCUGACUAGAGAACAAACUACCAAUUAACGAGCGAGGAAACAGGGCCAGAGAAUUGGAACAAAAUACAAGGCUGCCUCUGAAAGGAAUAUCUUUGUGCUGAUGUGUCCAUCAAGAGAACAUACACAGAAGUGACACUUGCCAGUAAUUUGCAAGCAGAUGGAACUUCAAUAUGGCAAUAGAGAAAGAAUCAAUUAGACCAGAGUCUCCUCAGGAAGACUUUCUAUAGAUAUCUGGUGAGCAUCUGCUAGAUGCCAGGGUUGGGGAGAGUCAAGUUGAAGCAAGCAUGAACCCUCAAGGACCUACCAUUUCAAGGCAAGAAAUAGAUACAAAUACAGUUGAGAGCCAUCUGUGAAGUUAAUUUCAGCACUGUUUACUCUUUCCUCCUAAAUCACUAAUGAAGAUGAAACAUUCAAUGGAAUUGAGCUUUGCACCCCUUUCUGGGAAAUUCCACCGAGGCUUGCUCUUGUUUCAGAAAAUAUUUACUGGAUAGCUACUAGACAUAAGGAUGCAGAAAUGAAUUAGAAAAAUUCCUCGCCCUUGUUCAAAGCUAUGCUGGCUCUUAGAACAUCUGAGCCCCCACUGUUUCAUCUUUAGAGGAUCCCAGCUGCUGGGGUGUGAGGCCAGUGCUGGAGCCAGCAGUCUCUGACCCAGAAGGGACCUGAGGUGCUAAAGAAAAGGGUACAAGCUGGAAAAGGGGAAAAUGAAUCAUGCUACAGGCCAAGUGUCCAUCACUGAUUCCCAGAGAUGCCCUUUGUGUGGUAGGCACUUCCAUGUGGACUCGCUACAGAGUUUGGAGUUCCUGAACAACAUGGACAGUGUUAAUUUGGAUUCCAUGCUUCAUGGCACAGAAUUGGAGCACUAACUACUCAGUGAUGACUUUCUCUUCCUCUAGCUAAGGUGAUCAACAAGUUUCCUUGUUCUUUCUCCAAGUAGUAGAAGAAAGUAAAGGUCAUAAGACCCUAAUUCCAGAGGGCCCUACCCUAUAACCAGAAGGAAGAACUAUUGCACAGAGAAUCUAAGAAGAAUCUAGACAGACAGCCCUUGCUGGAUUUCUCCACUCUGUUAGCAUUCGAUCAUUUGCCUUUUGUCCAGUCAUAUUUCUGCAUGGCUGUCCAUACUUUGUUGAACCUAAGCACAAAAUGGAAAGUUUUCCCUGUAUCUUUGGGUCGUCAUUCUGAAGGCUCCCAUGUUAUGUAAAACUAUGAUCAAAUAAAUAUGCAUGCCUUUUCUCCUAUAA